CAGCCGCCACGGGAAUACGGAGGGUGCAAGCGUUAAUCGGAAUUACUGGGCGUAAAGCGCACGCAGGCGGUCUGACAAGUCAGAUGUGAAAUCCCCGGGCUUAACCUGGGAACUGCAUUUGAAACUGUCAGGCUGGAGUCUUGUAGAGGGGGGUGGAAUUCCAGGUGUAGCGGUGAAAUGCGUAGAGAUCUGGAGGAAUACCGGUGGCGAAGGCGGCCCCCUGGACAAAGACUGACGCUCAGGUGCGAAAGCGUGGGGAGCAAACAGGAUUAGAGACCCCUGUAGUCCCUGUCUCUUAUAA
rnacentral:rRNA from 1 species